AAAUGAAUAGACGGGGGCCCGCACAAGCAGCGGAGCAUGUGGUUUAAUUCGACGCAACGCGAAGAACCUUACCAGGUCUUGACAUCCAUUUAAAACUUAAGAGAUUAAGUGUGAGCAUGCUCAAAAUGAGACAGGUGGUGCAUGGUUGUCGUCAGCUCGUGUCGUGAGAUGUUGGGUUAAGUCCCGCAACGAGCGCAACCCCUACGGAUAGUUACUAACGGAUAAUGCUGAGGACUUUAUCAGGACUGCCGAGGACAACUCGGAGGAAGGUGGGGACGACGUCAAAUCAUCAUGCCCCUUAUGACCUGGGCUACACACGUGCUACAAUGGCCGUAACAAAGAGUUGCGAAGUCGCAAGGCGGAGCGAAUCUCAAAAAAACGGUCUCAGUUCGGAUUGUGGGCUGCAACCCGCCCACAUGAAGUCGGAGUUGCUAGUAAUCGCGAAUCAGCAUGUCGCGGUGAAUACGUUCCCGGGCCUUGUACACACCGCCCGU
rnacentral:rRNA from 1 species